CCUACGGGUGGCUGCAGUGGGGAAUAUUGGACAAUGGGCGAAAGCCUGAUCCAGCCAUGCCGCGUGUGUGAAGAAGGCCUUCGGGUUGUAAAGCACUUUCAGUGGGGAAGAAAGCCUUGGGGCUAAUACCCUCGAGGAAGGACAUCACCCACAGAAUAAGCACCGGCUAACUCCGUGCCAGCAGCCGCGGUAAUACGGAGGGUGCGAGCGUUAAUCGGAAUUACUGGGCGUAAAGCGCGCGUAGGCGGUCUGAUAAGCCGGUUGUGAAAGCCCCGGGCUCAACCUGGGAACGGCAUCCGGAACUGUCAGGCUAGAGUGCAGGAGAGGAAGGUAGAAUUCCCGGUGUAGCGGUGAAAUGCGUAGAGAUCGGGAGGAAUACCAGUGGCGAAGGCGGCCUUCUGGACUGACACUGACGCUGAGGUGCGAAAGCGUGGGUAGCAAACAGGAUUAGAUACCCGAGUAGUC
rnacentral:rRNA from 1 species